UACGUAGGGGGCAAGCGUUGUCCGGAUUUAUUGGGCGUAAAGGGUGCGUAGGUGGCCUGAAAAGUUUGAUGUGAAAGCUCAGGGCUUAACCCUGAAAUGGCAUUGAAUACUGUCGGGCUGGAGGUUUGGAGGGGGGACUGGAAUUCUUGGUGUAGCAGUGAAAUGCGUAGAUAUCAAGAGGAACACCAGUGGCGAAGGCGAGUCCCUGGACAACACCUGACACUGAGGCACGAAAGCUAGGGGAGCAAACAGG
rnacentral:rRNA from 1 species